UACGAGGGGGGCGAGCGUUGUUCGGAAUUAUUGGGCGUAAAGGGUGCGUAGGCGGUUUGGUAAGUCUCGUGUGAAAUCUACAGGCUCAACUUGUAGUCUGCACGAGAAACUGCCGGGCUUGAGUGUGGGAGAGGUGAGUGGAAUUCCCGGUGUAGCGGUGAAAUGCGUAGAUAUCAGGAGGAACACCGAUGGCGAAGGCAGGUCUCUGGGCCACUACUGACGCUGAGAAGCGAAAGCAUGGGGAGCGAACAGG
rnacentral:rRNA from 1 species